rnacentral:rRNA from 1 species
UACAUGGGGUGCAAACGUUGCUCGGAAUUACUGGGCGUAAAGCGCACGUAGGCGGCUUUGUAAGUUAGAGGUGAAAGCCCAGGGCUUAACCCUGGAAUUGCCUUUAAGACUGCAUCGCUCGAAUUGUGGAGAGGUGAGUGGAAUUCCGAGUGUAGAGGUGAAAUUCGUAGAUAUUCGGAAGAACACCAGUGGCGAAGGCGGCUCACUGGACGACUGUUGACGCUGAGGUGCGAAAGCGUGGGGAGCAAACAGG